GACUACCCAGGUGGCUAGCACCUACUUGGAUAAGAAUGUCCUGAGCUUCAAAUCUCUUCCCUGAUAAAAAGAGGGCUGCUGCUCUCAAGGAACUUCAGUCAAGGGGAGUGGGGGAAGACAGUCCCACACACAGACAAAAAACUAGGGGGUGAAAGGCCAAUGAGUGGUGGGAAGGAAAGGGAAAGAAGCUUCCAGAAGAAAAGACAGAAGCUGAUUGAGGUCCCAGCUUGGUAACAGUUUGAAGAGUUGCAGGACUGGCUGGAUGAGUACUGGCUGCAGCAAAUCAGGCUGCCAGGAUUCUUUAUGGCUGUUUCUGCUUCCACUACAGCUGAGUCAGAAAGGUCGCUGCCCCGUGGUGGCACUAGACGCAGUGGACCUGGCAAGCAAAUGUUUCCGCUAUUAGCUCUCAGCAACAGAGACUCAUUUAUGGUCACCUUGGAAAUCUGGGCUUAUCGAUCUACAGCCCAAGUCUGCUGAGAAGCUGGAGCUUACUAAAGGGGAAACCUGAGAGCUGUUCAAGCCCCAAAUAUUUUCCACUUCUGCGUCACCUCUGCUGUCUGUUAGCAGAGUGGAGGAGAAAAUACACAGCACAAACAACGUGAAAAAAUAGUUACUCUAUUCAUUAAAAGCUGUAACUUCCAGAUUGGACUUGAGAAGCAAUUAAGCAACAGAGGAACCUCAUCUACUAUCUGUAUUCAGGCAUGCUCAUGAGAACACGCUGC
ensembl:lncRNA DOCK8-AS2 DOCK8 antisense RNA 2